rnacentral:rRNA from 1 species
CUCGCGUGUCGUGCCAGCAGCCGCGGUAAUACAGAGGAUGCAAGCGUUAUCCGGAAUGAUUGGGCGUAAAGCGCGCGUAGGUGGUUCGUUAAGUUGGACGUGAAAUCCCCGGGCUCAACCUGGGAACUGCAUUCAAAACUGUCGAGCUAGAGUAUGGUAGAGGGUGGUGGAAUUUCCUGUGUAGCGGUGAAAUGCGUAGAUAUAGGAAGGAACACCAGUGGCGAAGGCGACCACCUGGACUGAUACUGACACUGAGGUGCGAAAGCGUGGGGAGCAAAACAGGAUUAGAUACCCUGGUAGUCCACGCCGUAAACGAUGUCAACUAGCCGUUGGGAGCCUUGAGCUCUUAGUGGCGCAGCUAACGCAUUAAGUUGACCGCCUGGGGA